UUUUUUUAUAAUUUAUUCUUGGCCAUAGAUACAAGUCUUUCAGCCGAAAACAUGGAUAAUUUUUAAAAUAUUUCUAAAUUACAAAGAAAAAAUAAUCUUCUUAAAUUAAAUUAAAAAUAAUAAUCUACUUAUUUGCAAUACAAUACUCUUAACUUAACACCUUUUUAUAUUUUUUCUACCGUGUUACAUAUAUAUUUAUACAAUGUCUUAUAAAACUUCUUGUUGGCAAGUAGUUCCUGAACUUGGCGGGGAACACUUUGUUGAAUUUCUUCACAUUCACAUAUUUCAGUUACUAAAAUUAAACGUUGGAUAUUAAAAUUUGCACAUUUCAGAACAAUAUGAUCCAGAUCAGCAACUUCAGCAUCACAGUAUUUACAUCGGCUAUCGUUAUAUAUAUUUAUUCUGUUCAAGGUUAGUGUCCAGUAGUCAUUCCACAAUUUACGGUUGAUCUCUUUGAUGUGGCUGUGGUAAUCUGAAAAUGGAACCUUCACAAGCUCUGUCUGGUCAUCAUAAUGUUCCCAAUGUGUUGCAGCGUCAGCAAUUUCAUUUCCGGUUAUGCCACUGUGCGAAGGCACCCAUACGAACUCUACAUUAAUAAACUUAUCCAGUAACUGUUUGGUCUUAACUCUAAUUUCAUAUAAUAUAUAAUUAAGCUUAAAAGACAUAUUUACAUUGUUUAAAGCAGAUAGUACACUCUUAGAAUCCGAAACUAUGAGAAUUGUAUGUACAUUAUUUACAGAAAUUGCAUGUUGUAAUGCACAAUAAAUAGCAUAGCUUUCUGCAGUGAAAACGCUACAUGCUGCAUUUAAUUUUAUACAUUUAGUAAAGUCCAGUUGUGGAUCAUAAAAUGCUGCUCUUACAUUAUGAUCUGUUUUAGAGCCAUCUGUGUAUAUAAUAUAAUUAUCUGGUUUAUUAUCAAUAAACAUUGAGAAAUCAAAUUUAUUGUGCACUACAUCUAAAUGAACUGUAAAAUUGUUAAUUAAACUAGGAAAAGGAAUUUUAUACAUAGGCCAAAUAUCAUGAACAGCAAUAUCUUUUGAAUUCUUAUUUACAUAGUAAAAUAUUGUUGUAAUUCCAGGUAGACUUCCACCUAUCAAGGAAGAAGCAGAAAUAUUACAUGAAAUUGACUGAGAGACCCUGUGAUCUACUACCAGUUUCUUAUGUAAAUGACUAUUUGAUGAAAUGAUCUUCAAGAAAAAUCUCUCAGCCAACAUCAACCUACGUAACAUCAAGGGUGGUAUACAUGUCUCAACUUCCAAUGAGUUAAUUGGUGUGGAACGCAUGGCUCCACAAAUAAGUCUCAGUCCCAUAUUUUGGAUUACAUCCAAUUUUCUUAGUAAGGUGGUACUGGCAUUCAUAUAAGCUAAACUGCUGUAAUCAAAAUGACUUCUUACUAUACUUUUGUAUAACAUACUCAUAACUUUGGGGUCAGAUCCCCAAAAACUACCUGCUAAAUAGCGCAAUAUGUUUAUGCCAUUCAGUGCUUUGCUGCAUAUAUGUUUGAUAUGAUCAUCAAACUUUAAUUGAUCAUCAAUAAUAAUCCCUAGGAAUUUAUGUUGUUUAACAAUAGGAAUUUCUACAUUGUUGUACAAAAUUUUCACAUUAAAAUUAGUGUUUCGAUUUUUACUAACAAUUAGAACUGAACUUUUUCCAGGACUUAUUUCUAACUUAAGUUUAUUGUGGUAAUAGUAAUACAAUUGAUUCAAAGCAGUAUUUAUUUUGACCUUAGCUAUUUCUAUAUUUUGAUGUAUGCUAUACAAAAGUAAGUCAUCUGCAAAUUGUAAUAUUUUAACAUCUGGUACAUUUACAAAUUUUAAUAUUUCAGAGGUGUAUAAAUUAUAAAGUAAAGGAGACAGAGUGGCUCCUUGCAUUGUGCCCUUAUUAACAGUCUUAGGGCCAUGUAAUUUAUUGUUGUAUUUUACAAACACAGUUCUAUUGUUCAAAAAGUUGUAAAGCCAUUUAAGUAUAUGACCUGGGAUACCAAUAUCAUGGGAUAUUUGAAUAAGUUCCUCUAUAUUUACAUUGUCAAAAGCCCCUUUUAUGUCUAAAAAUACACAAAUUGCAUUGGA